rnacentral:rRNA from 1 species
CCUACGGGUGGCAGCAGUGGGGAAUCAUGGGCAAUGGGCGCAAGCCUGACCCAGCAACGCCGCGUGAAGGAAGAAGGCUUUCGGGUUGUAAACUUCUUUUAUCAGGGACGAAGCAAGUGACGGUACCUGCUGAAUAAGCCACGGCUAACUACGUGCCAGCAGCCGCGGUAAUACGUAGGAGGCAAGCGUUAUUCGGCUUUACUGGGUGUAGAGGGCGUGGAGGCGGGAGUGCAAGUCAGAUGUGAAAACUGUGGCCUCAACACAUAGACUGCAUUUGAAACUGUAAUGCGUGAGUGCUGGAGAGGCAAUCGGAAUGCCGGGUGUAGCGGUGAAAUGCGUAGAUAUACGGAGGAACACCAGUGGCGAAGGCGGAUUGCUGGACAGUAACUGACGCUGAGGCGCGAAAGCGUGGGGAGCAAACAGGAUUAGAUACCCGAGUAGUC